CGGACGGGUGAGUAACGCGUGGGUAACCUGCCUUGUACUGGGGGACAACAGUUGGAAACGACUGCUAAUACCGCAUAAGCGCACAGCUUCGCAUGGAGCAGUGUGAAAAACUCCGGUGGUACAAGAUGGACCCGCGUCUGAUUAGCUGGUUGGUGAGGUAACGGCCCACCAAGGCGACGAUCAGUAGCCGGCCUGAGAGGGUGAACGGCCACAUUGGGACUGAGACACGGCCCAA
rnacentral:rRNA from 1 species